rnacentral:rRNA from 1 species
UACAGAGGGGGCAAGCGUUGUUCGGAAUUACUGGGCGUAAAGGGCGCGUAGGCGGCCUGCUAAGUCGAACGUGAAAUCCCUGGGCUCAACCCAGGAACUGCGUCCGAUACUGGUUGGCUUGAAUCCGGGAGAGGGACGUGGAAUUCCAGGUGUAGCGGUGAAAUGCGUAGAUAUCUGGAGGAACACCAAUUGCGAAGGCAGCUCGCUGGGACGUUACUGACGCUGAGACGCGAAAGCGUGGGGAGCAAACAGG